UACGUAGGGUGCAAGCGUUAUCCGGAAUUAUUGGGCGUAAAGAGCUCGUAGGCGGUUUGUCGCGUCUGCUGUGAAAACCCGAGGCUCAACCUCGGGCCUGCAGUGGGUACGGGCAGACUAGAGUGCGGUAGGGGAGAUUGGAAUUCCUGGUGUAGCGGUGAAAUGCGCAGAUAUCAGGAGGAACACCGGUGGCGAAGGCGGGUCUCUGGGCCGAUACUGACGCUGAGGAGCGAAAGCUAGGGGAGCAAACAGG
rnacentral:rRNA from 1 species